AACGAACGCUGGCGGCGUGCCUAACACAUGCAAGUCGUGCGAGAAAGUUCCUUCGGGAGCGAGUAAAGCGGCGCACGGGUGAGUAACACGUAGGUAACCUGCCCCCCAGUCUGGAACAACUAGAGGAAACUCUAGCUAAUGCCGGCUGAGACCACGAUCCCUUCGGGGGUUGCGGCCAAAGAUGGCCUCUACUUGUAAGCUAUCGCUGAGGGAUGGGCCUGCGGGCCAUUAGCUUGUUGGUGAGGUAACGGCUCACCAAGGCUGUGAUGGCUAGCUGGUCUGAGAGGAUGACCAGCCACACUGGGACUGAGACACGGCCCAGACUCCUACGGGAGGCAGCAGUGGGGAAUAUUGCGCAAUGGGCGAAAGCCUGACGCAGCGACGCCGCGUGGGUGAUGAAGGCCUUCGGGUCGUAAAGCCCUGUCGCAGGGGAAGAAUAAGCAUCGGUAUAAUACGCCGGUGCCCUGACGGUACCCUGCAAGAAAGCACCGGCUAACUCCGUG
rnacentral:rRNA from 1 species